CACGUAGGGCGCAAGCGUUGUCCGGAAUUAUUGGGCGUAGAGAGCUCGUAGGCGGUCUGUUGCGUCCGCUGUGAAAACUCGGGGCUUAACCCCGAGCCUGCAGUGGAUACGGGCAGACUAGAGGUAGGUAGGGGAGAAUGGAAUUCCCGGUGUAGCGGUGAAAUGCGCAGAUAUCGGGAGGAACACCGGUGGCGAAGGCGGUUCUCUGGGCCUUACCUGACGCUGAGGAGCGAAAGCGUGGGGAGCGAACAGG
rnacentral:rRNA from 1 species